GCCGGCGGGUCGUCCGGGACCGGGCCGGCCGCUGGAGCCGGCCGGCCUGCCCUGGGCCCGGACGGUCACGUCGUCGCCGCCGGCG
rnacentral:tRNA from 1 species